GGGGGCGAAACGGAUUCGACUUUGUGGAGUGGGCGCAGGCGGCAUGCCGAGGUGGUUCGGAGGCCUCGUUAAACACCGGACAAAAACAUAACAGCGAACGAAGAGCUCGCUCUCGCGGCCUAAGUGCCACGACGUCCGUCCCGCGACACCGCUAGCGGGAACGGGCGACACCAGCGGUUAGUCUGCCGGUUGGGUCUGCGGGCCGGUGGGCGAAACUUCACAUGCAGGCUGGCGCGGCGCGUGGCCUGCCGGUUGGCAGCGCGUCGGGCGAGACCCAAACACCGGAUAAGCAUGUAGUCGUCGGCGUUGACUCGGCAGAGGACGUGGGUUCAACUCCCACCGCCUCCACCA
rnacentral:tmRNA from 1 species